GAAAAGAACUUUGAAGAGAGAGUUCAAGAGUACGUGAAACCGUUCAGGGGUAAACCUGAGAGACCCAAAAGAUCGAAUGGGGAGAUUCAUCGACGACGAAGCUGGCUCCCGUUGGCGUGCGAUUCCCCCGUUGGGACCUCGGUUCCAGAACGCGGGGUACACCCCUUCGGCGAAUAACCGGCGACGUAGUCGUGCACUUCUCCCUUGGUAGAACGUCGCGACCCGUUGUGCGUCGGUCUACGGCCUGGGCUAUUUGCCUGUCGCGGUGGCAUUCGUUCGCUCGCGGCAGAGGCUCGGUCGCCCGGCCGGCUGCACGACGGUACUCCGACGGUAUCGGGCCGCAACCAAUCCAUUCUCGAAUGGUAUAUGCGUCCAGGCCCGUCGCAAGCUCGGACAGCACCCGGAGCGUGUGGACGCAGCGCCCUCCCCGGGUCUGGGCAGCUGUUAGCAGACGGUGUCCUCGGACCGGCCAAGCUUCGAAUUACCGGUCAGCGACGCUAUUGCUUUGGGUACUCUCAGGACCCGUCUUGAAACACGGACCAAGGAGUCUAACAUGUGCGCGAGUCAUUGGGACAUUGAAACCUAAAGGCGAAAUGAAAGUGAAAGUCGUCGUAAGCGUCGACCAAGGGAGGAUGGGCCGCGUCACGUCGCGGCCUCGCACUCCCGGGGCGUCUCGUUCUCGUUGAGAAGAGGCGCACCAGAGCGUACACGUU
rnacentral:rRNA from 1 species